GACGAACGCUGGCGGCGUGCUUAACACAUGCAAGUCGAACGGAAAGGCCCUGCUUGCAGGGUACUCGAGUGGCGAACGGGUGAGUAACACGUGGGUGAUCUGCCCUGCACUUCGGGAUAAGCCUGGGAAACUGGGUCUAAUACCGGAGAGGAGCCAUCCUUAGUGUGGGGGUUGGUAAGAUUUUUCGGUGUAGGAUGAGCUCGCGGCCUAUCAGCUUGUUGGUGGGGUAAUGGCCUACCAAGGCGGCGACGGGUAGCCGGCCUGUGAGGGUGUACGGCCACAUAGGGAGUGAGAUACGGCCCAGAGUCCUACGGGAGGCAGCAGUGGGGAAUAUUGUACAAUGGGGGCAAGCCUGAUGCAGCGACGCCGCGUGGGGGGUGAAGGCCUUCGGGUUGUAAACUCCUCUCGCUAGGGACGAAGCGUUUUUGUGACGGUACCUAGAGAAGAAGCACCGGCUAACUACGUG
rnacentral:rRNA from 1 species